CGAAAUGCGAUAAGUAGUGUGAAUUGCAGAAUUCAGUGAAUCAUCGAAUCUUUGAACGCUCAUUGCGCCCCUUGGUAUUCCAUGGGGCAUGCCUGUUCGAGCGUCAUUUGUACCUUCAAGCUUUGCUUGGUGUUGGGUGUUUGUCUCGCCUCUGCGCGCAGACUCGCCUCAAAACAAUUGGCAGCCGGCGUAUUGAUUUCGGAGCGCAGUACAUCUCGCGCUUUGCACUCAUAACGACGACGUCCAAAAAGUACAUUUUUUACACUCUUGACCUCGGAUCAGGUAGGGAUACCCGCUGAACUUAAGC
rnacentral:misc_RNA from 1 species